rnacentral:rRNA from 1 species
GAUGAACGCUGGCGGCGUGCCUAAUACAUGCAGGUCGAGCGAACAGAUGAGGAGCUUGCUCCUCUGACGUUAGCGGCGGACGGGUGAGUAACACGUGGAUAACCUACCUAUAAGACUGGGAUAACUUCGGGAAACCGGAGCUAAUACCGGAUAAUAUAUUGAACCGCAUGGUUCAAUAGUGAAAGACGGUUUUGCUGUCACUUAUAGAUGGAUCCGCGCCGCAUUAGCUAGUUGGUAAGGUAACGGCUUACCAAGGCAACGAUGCGUAGCCGACCUGAGAGGGUGAUCGGCCACACUGGAACUGAGACACGGUCUAGACUCCUACGGGAGGCAGCAGUAGGGAAUCUUCCGCAAUGGGCGAAAGCCUGACGGAGCAACGCCGCGUGAGUGAUGAAGGUCUUCGGAUCGUAAAACUCUGUUAUUAGGGAAGAACAAAUGUGUAAGUAACUAUGCACGUCUUGACGGUACCUAAUCAGAAAGCCACGGCUAACUACGUG